rnacentral:rRNA from 1 species
AUGUCCUCCCCGCAGGAGGGGAAAUCCGAGGGCGCUGGGAGGGGGCAGGAGGAGCGGCCUUCCAAGGCCUGGGGGCUGCUCGUCUUCGGCCUCGUCGGCGCCGCCACCGCGACCCUCGCGGUUGGCCACGUUCGUAAAAGUGUUGAUUGGUUCUACACUCAGCUGAAUAAGGUGCAGACAACAUCAUCUUGGAGGAAGACAAGUAAAAGCUCCACCGGUGGAACUUUUAGUGACGAUGCUAGGAGAAGAUAUUAUCAACGUAUGCAGCAGGAAUUUGAGGAUGAACAGGAAAGAGUUCAAAGAAUAAGGCACAUGCAAAGUGUUUUCAACCGAGAGAGGAACAAAUUCAGGAAGAGUUAUGAAAGUUGGAAGGAGAAUGGGCCCCCAGGUGGAUAUAAUUACAUCCCGCGGGAUGACUGGUAUUGGCAGACAGAUACGCCUAACUCAGAAAAUAAAAAUAGGCGGACAUAUACUCCGGCAGGACCUAGGGGUUAUCCUAUGUCGCAUCAUUAUACCGUUCUUGGUCUUGAUAGAUCACGAGGGACUCCAUACACAGAUGCAGAAGUAAAGAGUGCUUUUAGAACAAAAGCAAUGGAGGUCCACCCUGAUCAAAAUCAAGAUAAUAGAGAGACUGCUGAAGAAGAGUUCAAGGAGGUUGUCAAAUCUUAUGAGGCGAUAAAGCUGGAGAGGAAAAAUAAUGCAAGUUGA